rnacentral:SRP_RNA from 1 species
CAUUGGCUCCUUCGCGACGAACUGCCGUGAACCCCGCCAGGCCCGGAAGGGAGCAACGGUAGCGGACAGGGCGUGCGCCGAAUGUCCGGCUGGUGCGG